CACGGGGGAAGCAAGCGUUGUUCGGAAUCACUGGGCGUAAAGGGUGUCUAGGCGGUCAGGUAAGUGAGAUGUGAAAUGCCCCGGCUUACCCGGGGACCUGCAUCUCAUACUGCCUGGCUUGAGUAUGGGAGAGGAUGAGGGAAUUCCUGGUGUAGCGGUGAAAUGCGUAGAUAUCAGGAGGAACACCGGUGGCGAAAGCGCUCAUCUGGCCCAAUACUGACGCUGAAGCACGAAAGCUAGGGGAGCAAACGGG
rnacentral:rRNA from 1 species